AACGCACAUUGCGCCUCUUGGUAUUCCUCGAGGCAUGCCUAUUCGAGCGUCGUUUCGACCCCUCAAGCGUAAGCUUGGUGUUGGGGAUUGCCCCUGAAAUAUGGCGGCAGCCCUUAAAUCUAUCGGCGGUAACCGGUGCAAGCCUAGAGCGCAGCAAUGAUGCGUUUUCUCUAGGAGAACCGAAGCCUGCCGGGCAAAUCGAAACUUUUUAACCCCACGUCGACCUCGAAUUAGGUAGGGAUACCCGCUGAACUUAA
rnacentral:misc_RNA from 1 species